rfam:Triticum aestivum genome assembly, contig: Triticum_aestivum_CS42_TGACv1_scaffold_500525_6BL
AAAGUACUCCCUCUAUCCCAAAUUACUCGUCGCAGAAAUGGAUGUAUCUAGAACUAAAAUACAUCUAGAUACAUACAUAUUUGCGACAAGUAAUUCGGGACAGAGGGAGUAAUUG